CCGCAGUUCAUUGGUGGUUCCAUGGGUGAAACCUAAUUUCCAGCGGGCUUCACUUAAUCCUCAUAUUUCUCUGGUAAACUCUGUAUUCAUCCUUGUUCGCCGGAAGUGAUGAGUGCAUUCCAUGCGGCCACCAUUUGCAUUCCACCUUCAAUCCAACAUGGUGGCCGUAUUGUGCGUUCAACUGAACUGCCCUUUUUAAUUUGGGGUUUUGCGUUCCACUUUGCCUUAUA